rnacentral:tRNA from 1 species
CGAUGGGUAGCAAGGGUUAUUACAUCACCUCUGGUGCCAUACGGCGUUCGCAGCCGUUCCAUUUCGGUGCAGUAUCGAAUUUAUCGA